AUGUCAAAAAAACAAACCCCAGUCAGAGAGGACUCAGCCGCUGGCCAAGAGGAUGCCCACAGCUACCCAUCAAGUAGCGAAAUUUCAAAGCCUCAAUCAACAUUGACUGAGAUGGAUGGAGGAGGAGGGGAGUUGAGACGCAAAGACACCAGGCAUAGCUCAAGCUUUCCAGCCCGAGAAGCUGGAAAAACAAGACAGACGAGGGAAGGCACCGAUGUGCAAAGGAUAAAACUCAAAAUUAGCUCUGGACACAUUCCGGGAGGCCAAGCAGCCAUUUCAAAGCAGGGAGCGCGCUCCGCAGGGAGUCCACGGGCUGAAGACAGGCAUCCAAGAAGUUGGCAGGACCGCAGAGGGUAUUUAAAGCGUCAAUCGGGAAUGUCUAGGGAGCGGACAGCCACAGAGAAGAGAUCUGGGAUGCAGCUCUGGGGUGGGACACGCAUUAAAAGCAAAGGGGCGGCCAGCGGGACAAGGGGAGAGGCGUUCCCGCCACGCACGGGCGCUGCUGCUAGAGGCUCUGAGGAGGAAGCGUGCUGGCCCUGGGCGACACACCUGCGCAAACCAGGUGGUUGCAGGUGUCAGGACAGUGGACGGGCUGGCGGGUGCGCUGCCCCACCCUGGCACUGGUUCAGCAAGGAUGCUGCAGUGCGGGCCGCGCCCCUCGCCUCGCCCGGCCGCACCUGGCCGAGCACCGCACCUGCGCGCGCCGCGGCUCCCCACUCUCGCGCCCCGGGGCCCGAGGGCGCACGCGCAGACCCCACGCCGCCCGGCCGCGGGCCCCGCCGCCACGGCCGCGAGCCGAACCCCGCCUCUCCCGCCCAGGGCGCGUGCGCGCCGCCCCCCACCGAGCGCCCCCUCAGACGAAGCCGGGACGGGGGACGGGGGCGCGCAGGAAGGACCCGGUGCCCUGGUUCCCGAGCCUCUCCGGCGGCCGCGGGCCUGACCCAUGCCCACCUGCCGAGUCCCGGGCGAAGUAACCUCGGCGCGCUGGAAACAGCGACGGAGAAACAGGCGCGGUCCCUCGAACGCUUUUUCCGAGCCUGCGGAUGCUAA
rnacentral:lncRNA from 1 species